CGUCGAAACACUGGUACCAGUACGAACACCGAAGUUAAGCAACGUCAAACAUGGCUAGUACCUAGAUGGGUAACCGUUUGGGAAUACUAGGUGCUGUAA